CUGGGUGUAGCGCAGCUUGGUAGCGUGCUUGAAUGGGGUUCAAGAGGCCGGAGGUUCGAAUCCUCUCACCCAGACCA
rnacentral:tRNA from 1 species